rnacentral:snRNA from 1 species
AAGAAUUUUAACGCAUCAUACGA